UUGUGUGAAUACAUAGCACAUUCGAGGUAGACGCAGAGAACUGAAACAUCUAAGUACCUGCAGGAAGAGAAAGAAAAUUCGAUUCCCUGAGUAGCGGCGAGCGAAACGGGAAAAGCCCAAACCAGCAAGCUUGCUUGUUGGGGUUGUAGGACUCCAAUAUGGUAGUUCUUUCAGAUAGUCGAAUGACUUGGAAAAGUCAGUCAAAGAGGGUAAAAACCCCGUAGACGAAAUGUGGAAGACACCUAGGAGGAUCCUGAGUACGGCGGAACACGAGAAAUUCCGUCGGAAUCCGGGAGGACCAUCUCCCAAGGCUAAAUACUCCCUAGUGACCGAUAGUGAACCAGUACCGUGAGGGAAAGGUGAAAAGCACCCCGGAAGGGGAGUGAAAUAGAACCUGAAACCGUGUGCCUACAACAAGUCAAAGCCCGUUAAUGGGUGAUGGCGUGCCUUUUGUAGAAUGAACCGGCGAGUUACGAUUGCAUGCGAGGUUAAGUUGAAGAGACGGAGCCGCAGCGAAAGCGAGUCUGAAUAGGGCGUUUGAGUAUGUAGUCGUAGACCCGAAACCAUGUGAUCUACCCAUGUCCAGGUUGAAGGUGCGGUAAAACGCACUGGAGGACCGAACCCACGUACGUUGAAAAGUGCGGGGAUGAGGUGUGGGUAGCGGAGAAAUUCCAAACGAACUUGGAGAUAGCUGGUUCUCUCCGAAAUAGCUUUAGGGCUAGCCUCGGAAUUGAGAAUGAUGGAGGUAGAGCACUGUUUGGACUAGGGGCCCAUCUCGGGUUACCGAAUUCAGAUAAACUCCGAAUGCCAUUCAUUCAUAUCCGGGAGUCAGACUGUGAGUGAUAAGAUCCAUAGUCGAAAGGGAAACAGCCCAGACCACCAGCUAAGGUCCCAAAAUAUAUGUUAAGUGGAAAAGGAUGUGGGGUUGCACAGACAACUAGGAUGUUGGCUUAGAAGCAGCCACCAUUUAAAGAGUGCGUAAUAGCUCACUAGUCGAGUGACCCUGCGCCGAAAAUGUACCGGGGCUAAACAUAUUACCGAAGCUGUGGAGUACACCUUUAGGUGUAUUGGUAGGAGAGCGUUCUAAGGGCGUUGAAGGCAGAUCGUGAGGACUGCUGGAGCGCUUAGAAGUGAGAAUGCCGGUAUGAGUAGCGAAAGACAGGUGAGAAUCCUGUCCACCGAAUGACUAAGGUUUCCUGGGGAAGGCUCGUCCGCCCAGGGUUAGUCGGGACCUAAGCCGAGGCCGACAGGCGUAGGCGAUGGAUAACAGGUUGAUAUUCCUGUACCCGUUGUUUUUGUUUGAGCAAUGGAGGGACGCAGGAGGCUAAGGAAUGCAGACGAUCGGAAAUGUCUGUCCAAGCAGUAAGUCUGAAGAGGAGU
rnacentral:rRNA from 1 species